rnacentral:sRNA from 1 species
GCUGGGCGUGGUGGUGCACGCCUGUAAUCCCAGCGGCUUGGGAGGCUGAGGCAGGAGGAUUGCAAGUUCAAACCCAGCCUCAGCAAAAGCGAGGUGCUAAGCAACUCAGUGAGACCCUGUCUCUA